rnacentral:rRNA from 1 species
AUACGGAGGAUGCAAGCGUUAUCCGGAUUUAUUGGGUUUAAAGGGUGCGUAGGCGGUUUGCUAAGCGGGAGGUGAAAUGCCGGCGCUCAACGUCGGAAGUGCCUCCCGAACUGGUGGACUGGAAUGACUCUGCCGUGGGAGGAAUGUGUAGUGUAGCGGUGAAAUGCUUAGAGAUUACACAGAACACCGAUUGCGAAGGCAUCUCACGAAGGGUUGAUUGACGCUGAGGCACGAAAGCGUGGGGAUCAAACAGGAUUAGAUACCCUGGUAGUCCACGCAGUAAACGAUGAUGGCUAACCGCUGGUUUAUUCGGAUCAGUGGCCAAGCGAAAGCGAUAAGCCAUCCACCUGGGGAAUACGACCGCAAGGUUGAAACUCAAAUGAAUUGACGGGG